rnacentral:lncRNA from 1 species
GGAGUACAGUAUCUGCCCGGACCGGAGCAGAACUUGUCAGCAGGGCAGCAUGUCCGAUGGCACACCUGCACCCUGCUGACAUCACAAGCAGAAGAGCUGCUUGUGCUUGAAUUGUGACAUCAAGGAGCAAAACUGGCGUGGUCCACAAGGAGGGGAGCCACCCUGUCAGGGAGACCACAGAAUCGCAGCCAAAGGGAAAGGUGAGAAAGCAGUCAUCAGACCCCAAGAGGGCAACAACCCACAUGGCUCUUCCCGAAGUGCAGGAAGUUCCACGCCCAGACCAGGAGCAAGUCGCACCUCGAAACCUCCUCAAAGCCAGCUCCGGAUGCGUAACAGCGGCAGUCUCCACAUGUUUGAGGACCAAGUCCUCUGUCCCGUUUGCCUAGAGGUGUUCCAAGACCCAGUUACCACCGGCUGCAGCCACAACUUCUGCAUGACCUGCCUCCAAUGGGGGAGACGCA